CGCUGGCGGCGUGCCUAAUACAUGCAAGUCGAGCGGAAUGAUGAAGAAGCUUUGCUUCUUCUGAUUUUAGCGGCGGACGGGUGAAGUAACACGUGGGCAACCUACCUUGUAGAUUGGGAUAACUCCGGGAAACCGGGGCUAAUACCGAAUAAUCCAUUUUGCUUCAUGGCGAGAUGUUGAAAGACGGUUUCGGCUGUCACUACAAGAUGGGCCCGCGGCGCAUUAGCUAGUUGGUAGGGUAAUGGCCUACCAAGGCGACGAUGCGUAGCCGACCUGAGAGGGUGAUCGGCCACACUGGGACUGAGACACGGCCCAGACUCCUACGGGAGGCAGCAGUAGGGAAUCUUCCACAAUGGACGAAAGUCUGAUGGAGCAACGCCGCGUGAGUGAAGAAGGUUUUCGGAUCGUAAAACUCUGUUGUAAGGGAAGAACACGUACGAGAGUAACUGCUCGUACCUUGACGGUACCUUAUUAGAAAGCCACGGCUAACUACGUG
rnacentral:rRNA from 1 species